AUACGGAGGGUGCGAGCGUUAAUCGGAAUUACUGGGCGUAAAGCGCGCGUAGGCGGCUACUUAAGUCAGAUGUGAAAUCCCCGGGCUCAACCUGGGAACUGCAUCUGAUACUGGGUAGCUAGAGUUUUGGAGAGGGAAGUAGAAUUUCAGGUGUAGCGGUGAAAUGCAUAGAGAUCUGAAGGAAUACCAGUGGCGAAGGCGACUUCCUGGCCAAAAACUGACGCUGAGGUGCGAAAGCGUGGGUAGCAAACGGGAUUAGAAACCCUAGUAGUCC
rnacentral:rRNA from 1 species